UUAUCUUAUGAAAAGGGAUACUCGAAGCGAAUGAAAAAAGUUUCAAUCUAUAUGAACUCGUGUUGAUAAUGUAAAUCAAAUGAUUUUCGCCGGGAAACAAUAUUAUACUACACAUUGUCAUCGGUUUUUUUAUUGUCUCUGUACAAUAGACGUUAAGUAAACAAGUAUAAAAAUUAUGAAACAGAAAUGCGAGCAAACAUUUCAAGCAUUGUUUCAUUUUAGCGAACAGACGGUAAAUGACUUAAAAUAAACUCCAUUCGUGAACCUUUACAUUUUCUAAACAGUUUAUCAAUAACGAAUACAAACUUAAAUUUGAUUACUUAAUUAUUACGCUGACACUGGCAUUCCUCGCGAUUAUUGUUGUUCAGACCAACCGAACAAUUGUGCGCGUAUAAAUUCGGUUACGCAAUUUUGAAGAUGACACGUUAUCUUAUCCACAGUGCAAAAUGAAACGUGACAAAUGAGCUCCGAGCGACCGAUGACUACUGUUUACAAGGUUAUGGGAAUACCCAACUGGUCAGUUCGGCGCUAGAAACAUGAAGCGAGACGUUGUCAACCUUUUCCCGCGCUGCGGAUGGCCAUUUUCUUCGAUAAUGGUCGUGGGUGUUCUGUGUUCGGUUUCGGUUUCGACGGCAGCAAUAAGUGGCGGCCGUGUCGGUCGGUCGAUCAUUCGAAUGCCUACCGUCGAGUGUCGAUGUCCUGUUGGCUAUGUUAACUUCGACGGACAAUGCAGACCUCUGUUUCACGAUUUGGAUGACCAGGAAGUCGUUGAUGCCCAUUCAAAUGCUCUUAUCGAAUCCACAAAACUCGCCAUCCACACUGCCGUCAAUCACGUUGUUCAAAAGGCAGUGCACAACGCAGUGCAUAACGCAGUACAUAACGCAGUGCACAACGCAGUUCAACACGCUGUUCAUAACGCUGGAGGCAGUAACGUGUUCACCCAUUUUUCCCAACGUAAAUUUUAUUUCACAUCGCGGAUUGCAUUUACUACUAUUACAAAAAACACUAAAUAAUCUACUGCGCUAAUGAAAUGUACAUAAAAUAUGUUAUAACGAAUCACUAUCACUGAUAUUCAUAGUGCUGCUAUGCUCGUCGCUCUUAUCGAUGAAAUAAAUAAGAAUCAAGCCAAUAUUUCAUGUACGACGAGGGUGAUUCCUUGUAACAACUUUGUUCAUUCGUGUGUGUGUUAAUUCCAAAUACUUCAUUGGAACAUCGGACAUUAAAAAUUUAUUUAUUGUAAAAUUUCGUUUAUAAUAUAUUAUUUUAAUCUAUAAGUGUGAUUAAAUCAAUUUAUUUUUAAUUAUAAUUAACUUAAAGGA